GAUGAACGCUGGCGGCGUGCUUAACACAUGCAAGUCGAACGAACCUUCGGGUUAGUGGCGGACGGGUGAGUAACGCGUGGGAAUCUGCCCUCAGGAGGGGGAUAACGGCUGGAAACGGCCGCUAAUACCCCAUAUGCCGAGAGGUGAAAUGAAUUUCGCCUGAGGAUGAGCCCGCGUCUGAUUAGCUAGUUGGUGAGGUAAUGGCUCACCAAGGCUUCGAUCAGUAGCUGGUCUGAGAGGAUGAUCAGCCACACUGGGACUGAGACACGGCCCAGACUCCUACGGGAGGCAGCAGUGGGGAAUUUUCCGCAAUGGGCGAAAGCCUGACGGAGCAACGCCGCGUGAGGGAUGAAGGCCUCUGGGCUGUAAACCUCUUUUCUCAAGGAAGAAGAUCUGACGGUACUUGAGGAAUAAGCCACGGCUAAUUCCGUGCCAGCAGCCGCGGUAAUACGGGAGUGGCAAGCGUUAUCCGGAAUUAUUGGGCGUAAAGCGUCCGCAGGCGGCCUUUCAAGUCUGCUGUUAAAGCGUGGAGCUUAACUCCAUCAAGGCAGUGGAAACUGUUGGGCUUGAGUGUGGUAGGGGCAGAGGGAAUUCCCGGUGUAGCGGUGAAAUGCGUAGAUAUCGGGAAGAACACCAGUGGCGAAGGCGCUCUGCUGGGCCAUAACUGACGCUCAUGGACGAAAGCCAGGGGAGCGAAAGGGAUUAGAUACCCCUGUAGUCCUGGCCGUAAACGAUGAACACUAGGUGUCGGGGGAAUCGACCCCCUCGGUGUCGUAGCCAACGCGUUAAGUGUUCCGCCUGGGGAGUACGCACGCAAGUGUGAAACUCAAAGGAAUUGACGGGGGCCCGCACAAGCGGUGGAGUAUGUGGUUUAAUUCGAUGCAACGCGAAGAACCUUACCAGGGUUUGACAUCCUGCGAACCUCUAAGAAAUUGGAGGGUGCCUUCGGGAACGCAGUGACAGGUGGUGCAUGGCUGUCGUCAGCUCGUGUCGUGAGAUGUUGGGUUAAGUCCCGCAACGAGCGCAACCCACGUUUUUAGUUGCCAGCAUUUAGUUGGGCACUCUAGAGAGACCGCCGGUGAUAAACCGGAGGAAGGUGUGGAUGACGUCAAGUCAUCAUGCCCCUUACAUCCUGGGCUACACACGUACUACAAUGCUACGGACAAAGGGCAGCAAACUCGCGAGAGCUAGCAAAUCCCAUAAACCGUGGCUCAGUUCAGAUCGUAGGCUGCAACUCGCCUACGUGAAGGAGGAAUCGCUAGUAAUCGCAGGUCAGCAUACUGCGGUGAAUACGUUCCCGGGCCUUGUACACACCGCCCGUCACACCAUGGAAGUUGGCCACGCCCGAAGUCGUUACUCCAACCCUUGUGGAGGAGGACGCCGAAGGUGGGGCUGAUGACUGGGGUG
rnacentral:rRNA from 1 species